rnacentral:snRNA from 1 species
AAGUAUAGACUGAGUAUGUU